UUCGGAGAAAGAGUUGAACAAACGAUUCAACUCUGAACAGUGCCCAAAACCGAAGGCUAGGAUCCGACAGAAAAAAACAACAGGAUCUGAAGCUGCUGAACAGCCCCAGGUUGAGGAAUAAGGUUUAGAUUCGAUCCAAUUUCCUGACCUAUACCGUUCGUGAGCUACGCCGUUCAACUUUGAUUGACUAGCACGAAAUACAGGCACGAACAAAAACAGACAGCCCUGGACAAGGAGGGAGUGAUAAGACUACGUUAUUUGUGCUGCGAUGUUUCAGUCGGUGGAACUAAGGCUGCCGUGUUCAUGAGUACAGCAGAAUGAGGUCUCUUCUUUCACGAGAGGCUGACCACAAUGAUGAGCUCUGAUGGGAGAGAUCCCCCCCGUGAGAUGAACCCACAACUAUCCCACCGUGUCUGAAGACCAUAGAUCAGUGUCCCAAGGUACCGCAGUGUGAGCUCAUUGGGAUUGGAUUCAUUUGAUGGGUCAGCACUUUUAAUGCACUUCAAUUCAAAAACACAAAAUCACAGAGAUUUCAUAUGGCCUUUUAUACGAACUACGGUGGUUGUGCUUU